GUUAGAAUUAAAGAGAGGGAAAGAUGUACUUCACAGCUGCUCCCCCAGAAGAUACAAUCACACAGAAUUUCACACUUUUUUGCAGCCAUAACUCCUUUUUGAAUUUGUAUACAGAAUGUGUUGUGAUGGUGACCUUCACAGAUUUAGUCCAGAGGCAGCAGAAGACCAAUAUGGGAUUGGAAGAAAACUUGGUUAAAAAAAAACAAAAAACAAAAACUUGGCCCCAAAUUCCUGAAUUCAGUGCUGUAUGCAAAAAAAGAGAAACUCUUGAGUGGUUUCCUUUUGGGAUAGAGUGAGUUUUAAUUUAUUCAGUUCCAUUGAGGGAUUUUUUACUUGAAAGUUUAAGCACAUAAGAAGAUUAUGUGUAGGUAUUAGAAAGACAAGUGGACAUUUGUCAUUCUUGGUGCCUAUCACUGUUGUCCUGUCUGCCUAGUGCUGAAGUCCAAACUCAAAGUCCCAGUCCCUUGCCAGGAGGAGGUAAAGAAUGGAGCCAGGUGCUGACAAUCAGGAGCCUUGUGCUGUAUUCCUUUCAGAAAUGAGUCUUCUGGGAAACGAGCUCUGCUGGGGAUCCCAUUUUGCUGAAACAGGUGGCAGUGGAGCUGCUGGCUUUGGGCCUGGUAGCUUGAGGGUGGCCUGUGGAGUACAUGACAUAGGACUACAUCCAUCCAAUGCCUGUCAGCUUCUAAGUGUCCAAAAAAUGGUUGCUAUUGAUACCAGUAGUAGUAGCGGCAGCAUAUAAUAAAGUUCCCUAAUUCUGAUGCAUUUAAAUUUAGACUAGAUGACCACCCCAGAUAGUAUAGAGUACCUGUGUUACAGACUAUGGGCUCUUAGAUUCCCCAGGUAAUAGAAAUCAACACAAGCCAAGCAUGUUUCCUCGAUGAGGCUCUAUUCUGGGGCUUGUGCAAGGGAAACAGCUGAGGUAUAAGGAUUUUCUAGCUAGCUCUCUGAAAACAGCCCCAGUAGGGAAUUUUUAUUAGGUGAAGAGUAGGAAUUGACAUCAGGGGUGGGGUUUGCAGGCUGCGUAAAGCAUGGGAGCUGUAGGGUAUGCAGGUCAGCACUUCUGGUUGCCAUGGUUAUCUUGAGUAAAGGGCAACCUGGUAGUCUGGCAGGUGGCAACAAGGCUGUAAAUCAAUUGUCCAACAUUCCUUCCCAAGGUGGAACACUCCACAACCUUGGUUCAAUAUUGUGGAUCUCCGAAGGACAGUUCCUGGAAUUCUUUAAGUAAAAGGCAUGGUUAAACAUUAUGAGAGCAAAGAAAAAUGGCUAUUUUCUUUGUAUGACUAAACCCUUGGGGUUAGUGGGUACAGCAUCAGCGAGGUAGUAGUCUGGGUUUUGUGGAGAGAGGAAAAAAAAAAAGAAAAAAAUAUCUGAAGGAGGAGCUGUGUCCCACUCCUGUCUCACUUGGACUAGGUCUUUGGUGCACGUGGGUUACUUUUUUGUUUUCCUUGCUCUCAUUCCAUAGCGUAGCUGUCCCUGCCCUAUCUUCUGUGAUUCUAGAGGGCCAUCUAUAAGGGCUCUGUCUUAGUUUGUUUGUGAUGCUAUAACACAGUACCACAGACUGGGUAAUUUAUAAAGAACAGAAAUUUGUUACAAGUAAUGGCAAAAACCACAAUUAUUUUGGCACCAAUCUAAUGUUUCUCCCAGUGCUGGAUGCUGGGAAGCCUCAAAUCAAGGUACUGACAGAUUCCGUUGUCUGGGGGAAGGCUGCAUCCUCAGAAGGGGAGGGGAUCUGUCUUCACAUAGCAGCAGAGCAGAAGAGAGCAAGCAGGAGAUGAACAGCAUGCAGCCUUGUUUGUAAGGCCUUAGUUCCACUGAUGAGGGCAGAGCCCUCUUGAACAAAUCAUGUCUUAAAGCCACACCUCUUAAUACCAACACAUGGACAACAUCAGAAUUUUGGAAGAGACAUAUUCAAACAAUAGCAUUCUGCCCCAGCCCCCCAAAUUUAUAUCCUUCUUAUAUACAAAAUGCAUUCUUUCUAUCCCAGUAGCCCCCAAAAGUCUUAACUCAUUCCAACAUCAACUUUACAGUCUGAGUCCAAAGUCUAAUCUAAAUCAGAUAUCAGUGAGAUUCCAGGCACAAUUUAUCCUGAGGUGAAUUUCACUCCAGCUAUGAGCCUGGGAAAUAAAACAAGUGAUUUGUUUCCAAAAUACAGUGGUAAGGCAUAGGAUAGACAUUCCAUUCCAAAAUGGAGCAACAGGAAAGAAGACAGGAGUAACAGACUCCAAGUAAGUUCAAAACCCAACAGGGCGAACAACAUUAAAUCUUCAGUUUCAAGAACAAUACUUUUACUGCCUUCCAGACACACUGGGGCAGAGGUUGGGCCCUUAAGGCCUUAGACAGCCCUCACAGCCCCCUCACAGCUUUGCUGGGCACAGCCCACGCAGCAGCUCUCACUGGUUGGAGUCAGGUGCCUGCAGCAAUCCCAAGCUGGUAUCGCAUGCUGGUAGCUCUACAUACACUUAUGGGGUGUUGGGGGUGACCCUGCCCCUAUGGUUCCACUAAGCAUUGCCUUAGUAGGGGUCUUUCUGCAGUGGCCCGCUCCUGAGGCAAGUCUCUGCCUGAGCCCUGAGGCUGUCAACAUCCUUUGAAAUCUAGGUGGAGGAAGCCAUACCUCUAAAGCACCUCUACCCUACAAGCCUGUGAAGUUAGUACCAUGUGGACACCACCAACACUCAUCACUUAUACCUUCUAGAGUGAUGGCCCAAGUCACACCUUCACCUAUCUGUGCCACAGCUGGGGCAGCCAAGACUGCUCUGAGCCUGAGCAGCAAGCCUCAAGAGGUAGGGCUUUCAAGAGGUGAUUAGGUCAUGAGGACUCCUCCCUGGUGAAUGAGAUUAAAGCCCUUGGGAAUGGGACAUCGCAAAGCAUUCCUCUCAUUCACUCUUCUGUCAUAUGAGGACACAGCAAUCCUCCCAUCAGAGAUGCAUCCUUCCCCAGACACCAAACCUACCUGUGCCUUGAUCUUGGACUUCCAGCCUCCAGAGCUGAGAGAAAUAAAUUUCUGUUCUCUGUAAAUUACCCUUUAAAUUGUUUUGGCCUUGAGGUCCUGUCACUCUGGGACUGUGAAGGGAAGGACAGCCUCUCUGUGUUAUUCUCUCAUUAUCUUGAUGAAUAAGCACCUGGCUUCCUUCUAGCCAUACUAAUCUUCUUAACAAAUGGUCUCUUUACACACUCUGUUUUUUCUACUAAACACGCUUCUUUAUUCUUUUUACAUGGCCAGGCUGCAAAAUUUCCAAAUCUUUAUAUCCUGCUUCUCUUUGAAUUACAAUUUUCACCUCUAAAUCAUUUAUCUCUUCUCACAUUUUACUAUCAGCAAUCAAGAGAAACCACACAGCCCCCUCACUACUUGGCUGUUGAGAGAUUUCUUCUUGCAGAUAUCCUAGUUCGUCCCUCUUAUGUUCUGCCUUUCACAAAGUCCUAGGUCAUGGACGUAAUUCUCUGUUGCUUUGUAACAAGGAUGGCCUUUCAUCCAGUUUCCAAAACCUUUUUCCUCAUUUCUACCUGAGACCUCAUCAGAAAUGUCUUCACUGUCCAUAUUUCUACCAACAUUCUGUUCACAACCACUUAGAUAAUUUCUGGAAAGACUGAGGCUUUCCCUAUGGCUUUCCUCUUCUUCUGAGUGCUCAUUAGAAUUGCCCUCAAUGAUCCCUUCAUGGAAACACAGACUCACUCUAUUUUCCAGCACUCACUUCAAAACUCUCCCAGUCUCUACCCAUGACCUAGUUCCAAAGCUGCUUCUACAUUGUCAGGUAUUUGUUAUAGCAACACCCCACUUCUCUUGUUCCAAUUUAUGUCUUAGUUCAUUUGUGUUGCUAUAACAGAAUACCACAGACUGGGUAAUUUACAGAGAACAGAAAUUUAUUUCUCUCAGCUCUGGAGGCUGGAAGUCCAAGAUCAAGGCACUGGUAGGUUUGGUGUCUGGGGAAGGAUGCAUCUCUGAUGGGAGGAUUGCUGUGUCCUCAUAUGACAGAAGAGUGAAUGAGAGGAAUGCUUUGCAAUGUCCCAUUCCCAAGGGCUUUAAUCUCAUUCAUGAGGGAGGAGUCCUCAUGACCUAAUCACCUCUUGAAAGCCCUACCUCUUAAUACUGUGAUUUCCCCCAGGGGUGGGCAUUUGAUCCAACAGAGCUAAAUUUGGGAUUGAUGUAGCUGCUGGGGGAGCAGAAAGGAGGUCAUUUCUGAGAUAAUCACCCCUUAUGAUUAUCAAGCUACUGUGACUGUCAUUGUACACAGGCAGAGAGCCUAACCUGGCUUAGAUGAGAACAAGCAGAAGUUAAUAGAGCUAAGAAAUGAAAACAGAGAGGAAGAGAGAAAGGGAGAGACUCAGUGGGGUAUCUUGGGAACAGGCUGAUCAAGCUAUGGCUUGAUCCUAAAGUUAACAGACUUCCCAGUGAUGUGAGCCAACAAACUCCAUUUUGAUUUAAGCUAUUUUGUACUAAAUUUCUGUCCUUUGCAACAGGGAAAGUCUGCCUGAAAGAACAAACAUGGGCCGUGCGCGGUGGCUCAUGCCUGUAAUCCCUGUACUUUGGGAGGCUGAGGCAGGUGGAUCACAAAGUCAGGAGUUCGAGACCAUCCUGGCUAACACGGUGAAAACCCGUCUCUACUAAAAACACAAAAAUUUAGCCAGGCAUGGUGGCGGGCGCCUGUAGUCCCAGCUACUCUGAAGGCUGAGGCAGGAGAAUGGCAUGAAGCCGGGAGGUGGAGCUUACGGUGAGCUGAGAUCAUGCCACUGCACUCCAGCCUGAGUGACAGAGCGAGACUCUGUCUCAAAAAAAAAAAAAAAAAAAAAAAAGAACAACCAUGGUGUUUUAAAAUCCUUAGAUACUGAGAGUUUCUGAAUAUUUUUCCCUUUUCUUAAGCACCAAGUCAUAUCCAGACCCAUAUUGUACUCUGUAAAUACUUCAUUUUCUUAAAUAGAACUUCUGAAAAUAGUUUUAAAAAAUAUGUAAUUACUGGGGAUUCUAAGAUGGCCGAAUAGAACAGCUCCAGUCUAUAGCUCCCAGCAUGAGUGACACAGAAGACAGGUGAUUUCUGCAUUUCCAACUGAGGUACUGGGUUCAUCUCACUGGGGCUUGUUGGACAGUGGGGGCCGGACAGUGGGUGCAGCCCACUGAGCUUGAGCCAAAGCAGAGCAAGGCAUUGCCUCACCUGGGAAGCGCAAGGGGUCAGCGAAUUCCCUUUCCUAACCAAGGGAAGCAGUGACGGACAGCACCUGGAAAAUCGGGUUACUCCCAUGCUAAUACUGAGCUUUUCCAGUGGUCGUAGCAAACGGCACACCAGGAGAUUAUAUCCCACACCUGGCUCAGAGGGUCCCAUGCCCACAGAGCCUUGCUCACUGCUAGCACAGCAGUCUGAGAUCGAUCUGCAAGGCAGCAGCAAGGGUGGGGGAGGGAUGCCUGCCAUUGCUGAGGCUUGAGUGGGUAAACAAAGUGGCCAGGAAGCUCGAACUUGGUGGAGCCCACUGCAGCUCAAGGAGGCCUGCCUGCCUCUGUAAACUCCACCUCUGGGGGCAGGGCAUAGCCGAACAAAAGGCAGCAGAAACCUCUGCAGACUUAAAUGUCCUUGUCUGACAGCUUUGAAGUGAGCAAUGGUUCUUCCAGCACGGAAUUUGAGAUCUGAGAAUGGACAGACUGCCGCCUCAAGUGGGUCCCUGACCCCCGAGUAGCCUAACUGGGAGGCACCCUCUAGUAGGGGCUGACUGACACCUCACACGGCCAGGUACCCCUCUGAGACGAAGCUUCCAGAGGAACAAUCAGGCAGCAGCAUUUGCUGUUCAGCAAUAUUCGCUGUUCUGCAGCCUCUGCUGCUGAUACCCAG
rnacentral:lncRNA from 10 species